ACGUCCUACGGGACGCAGCAGUAGGGAAUCUUCCACAAUGGACGAAAGUCUGAUGGAGCAACGCCGCGUGAGUGAAGAAGGGUUUCGGCUCGUAAAGCUCUGCUGGUAGUGAAGAAAGAUAGAGGUAGUAACUGGCCUUUAUUUUACGGUAAUUACUUAGAAAGUCACGGCUAACUACGUGCCAGCAGCCGCGGGAAUACGUAGGUGGCAAGCGUUGUCCGGAUUUAUUGGGCGUAAAACGAGUGCAUG
rnacentral:rRNA from 1 species